rnacentral:rRNA from 1 species
AACCUCCGCAAUGUGAGAAAUCGCGACGGGGGGAUCCCAAGUGCCAUUCUUAACGGGAUGGCUUUUCUUAAGUGUAAAAAGCUUUUGGAAUAAGAGCUGGGCAAGACCGGUGCCAGCCGCCGCGGUAACACCGGCAGCUCUAGUGGUAGCUGUUUUUAUUGGGCCUAAAGCGUUCGUAGCCGGUUUGAUAAGUCACUGGUGAAAUCCUGUAGCUUAACUGUGGGAAUUGCUGGUGAUACUGUUGAACUUGAGGUCGGGAGAGGUUAGCGGUACUCCCAGGGUAGAGGUGAAAUUCUGUAAUCCUGGGAGGACCACCUGUGGCGAAGGCGGCUAACUGGAACGAACCUGACGGUGAGGGACGAAAGCUAGGGGCGCGAACCGGAUUAGAUACCCGGGUAGUCCUAGCCGUAAACGAUGCGGACUUGGUGUUGGGAUGGCUUUGAGCCGCUCCGGUGCCGAAGGGAAGCUGUUAAGUCCGCCGCCUGGGAGUACGGUCGCAAGACUGAAACUUAAAGGAAUU